AUACGCUGGCGGCAGGCUAACACACCGCAGUCUGAACGGUAACAGGAUGUGCUUGCACAUCGCUGACGAGUGGCGGACGGGUGAGUAAUGCUUAGGGAUCUGCCUCUGUGUGGGGGAUAACUAUUGGAAACGAUAGCUAAUACCGCAUAAUGUUUACGGACCAAAGGGGGCGUUUGCUCCCGCGCAGAGAGGAACCUAAGUGAGAUUAGCUAGUUGGUAAGGUAAUGGCUUACCAAGGCGACGAUCUCUAGCUGUUCUGAGAGGAAGAUCAGCCACACUGGGACUGAGACACGGCCCAGACUCCUACGGGAGGCAGCAGAUGGGGAAUAUUGCACAAUGGGGGGAACCCUGAUGCAGCACAUGCCGCGUGUGUGAAGAAGGCCUUCGGGUUGUAAAGCACUUUCAGUUGUAGAGGAAAGGUUAGUAGUUAAUACCUGCUAGCUGUGACGUUAGCAACAGAAGAAGACACCGGCUAACUCCGUGCCACCAGACGCGGUAAUACGGAGGGUGCGAGCGUUAAUCGGAAUUACUGGGCGUAAAGCGCACGCAGGCGGUUUGUUAAGCUAGAUGUGAAAGCCCGAGC
rnacentral:rRNA from 1 species